AGUAACGGCGAGUGAAGCGGCAACAGCUCAAAUUUGAAAUCUGGCUCUUUUAGAGUCCGAGUUGUAAUUUGCAGAGGGCGCUUUGGCUUUGGCAGCGGUCCAAGUUCCUUGGAACAGGACGUCACAGAGGGUGAGAAUCCCGUACGUGGUCGCUGGCUAUUGCCGUGUAAAGCCCCUUCGACGAGUCGAGUUGUUUGGGAAUGCAGCUCUAAAUGGGAGGUACAUUUCUUCUAAAGCUAAAUAUUGGCCAGAGACCGAUAGCGCACAAGUAGAGUGAUCGAAAGAUGAAAAGCACUUUGGAAAGAGAGUCAAACAGCACGUGAAAUUGUUGAAAGGGAAGCGCUUGCAGCCAGACUUGCUUACAGUUGCUCAUCCGGGUUUCUACCCGGUGCACUCUUCUGUAGGCAGGCCAGCAUCAGUUUGGGCGGUAGGAUAAAGGUCUCUGUCACGUACCUCCUUUCGGGGAGGCCUUAUAGGGGAGACGACAUACUACCAGCCUGGACUGAGGUCCGCGCAUCUGCUAGGAUGCUGGCGUAAUGGCUGUAAGCGGCCCGUCUUGAAACACGGACCAAGGAGUCUAACAUCUAUGCGAGUGUUUGGGUGUCAAGCCCGAGCGCGUAAUGAAAGUGAACGGAGGUGGGAACCCGCAAGGGUGCACCAUCGACCGAUCCUGAUGUCUUCGGAAGGAUUUGAGUAAGAGCAUGGCUGUUGGGACCCGAAAGAUGGUGAACUAUGCUUGAAUAGGGUGAAGCCAGAGGAAACUCUGGUGGAGGCUCGCAGCGGUUCUGACGUGC
rnacentral:rRNA from 1 species